UGGGGAAUAUUGGACAAUGGGGGAAACCCUGAUCCAGCGACGCCGCGUGAGUGAAGAAGUAUUUCGGUAUGUAAAGCUCUAUCAGCAAGGAAGAAAAUGACGGUACUUGACUAAGAAGCCCCGGCUAACUACGUGCCAGCAGCCGCGGUAAUACGUAGGGGGCAAGCGUUAUCCGGAUUUACUGGGUGUAAAGGGAGCGUAGACGGCAUGACAAGUCUGAAGUGAAAGCCCGGGGCUCAACCCCGGGACUGCUUUGGAAACUGCCAGGCUAGAGUGCAGGAGAGGUAAGUGGAAUUCCUAGUGUAGCGGUGAAAUGCGUAGAUAUUAGGAGGAACACCAGUGGCGAAGGCGGCUUACUGGACUGUAACUGACGUUGAGGCUCGAAAGCGUGGGGAGCAAACA
rnacentral:rRNA from 1 species